rnacentral:rRNA from 1 species
CCUACGGGAGGCAGCAGUGGGGAAUAUUGGGCAAUGGGCGAAAGCCUGACCCAGCGACGCCGCGUGAGGGACGAAGGCCUUCGGGUUGUAAACCUCUUUCAGCAGGGAAGAAGCGAAAGUGACGGUACCUGCAGAAGAAGCACCGGCUAACUACGUGCCAGCAGCCGCGGUAAUACGUAGGGUGCAAGCGUUGUCCGGAAUUAUUGGGCGUAAAGAGCUCGUAGGUGGUUUGCCACGUCGGAUGUGAAAACCUGAGGCUUAACCUCAGGCCUGCAUUCGAUACGGGCAGACUAGAGUGUGGUAGGGGAGACUGGAAUUCCUGGUGUAGCGGUGAAAUGCGCAGAUAUCAGGAGGAACACCGGUGGCGAAGGCGGGUCUCUGGGCCAUAACUGACACUGAGGAGCGAAAGCGUGGGGAGCAAACAGGAUUAGAUACCCUGGUAAGUCCACGCCGUAAACGGUGGGCACUAGAUGUGGGGACCUUCCACGGUCUCUGCGUCGCNGCUACGCAUAAGUGCCCGCCGUCGGGAGGUACGGCCGCGACGACGUAAACUACAAAUAGAAGUUAGACGGACGUGAGACGUGCCGAACGGACGACGACGAGGGAGGAGG